UUUGCAUGGGUGGGCCUUGUCU
rnacentral:miRNA from 1 species